rnacentral:lncRNA from 1 species
GAAGGCUAGAAAGUUUUCUUUUGGUUAUGAGCUUCCAUCUUCAAACCUCUUCCUCACCUUGUUUUUAAAGGUUUACUUGUGGACAAGUAAAAGACAAGUUUGGGAGAGUUGAUGUCAUGAGAUUUUACAUGUUUUACCUAUCAUUUUCAUACUCAUUUAGAUCAUUUAGGAUUCAUUUAGAGUCCAAUUAGGUACAUAGCAUAUGCAUUCGUGGUAUUUCAGGAUUAGUGAGGUUCGAGUUGGAGUUAUGAAGGUUUGGGCAAGAUAAGUGGACUUGAUGGAGUUGAGUAGAUGAGAUGGAGUGAAGCUGACGGGGCGCGGGCGUAUAGUGCGGACGAAGGCGAGCCGCGGAUUGUUGGCCGAGGAGAUGGGGCGCGGGCGUAUACUGCAGACGAAGGCGAGCCGCGGAUUGUUGGCUGAGGAGACCAUUCGGAGU